UACGAAGGGGGCUAGCGUUGUUCGGAUUUACUGGGCGUAAAGCGCACGUAGGCGGAUCGUUAAGUCGGGGGUGAAAUCCUGGGGCUCAACCUCAGAAUUGCCUCCGAUACUGGCAGUCUCGAGUGCGGGAGAGGUGAGUGGAAUUCCCAGUGUAGAGGUGAAAUUCGUAGAUAUUGGGAAGAACACCAGUGGCGAAGGCGGCUCACUGGCCCGUAACUGACGCUGAGGUGCGAAAGCGUGGGGAGCGAACAGG
rnacentral:rRNA from 1 species